UACAGAGGGUGAGGGGAUUUCCAGACCCUGGAAUACUGGUAUCUUAAUGAUGACAGAAAGAAGUGGCUUCUUUUAUUUCUUACAGCAAAACAAUUUGUUUGCCUGGGGAUUUGGAGAAAGAGACGGAAUCUGGGGAUGUUUAUGAGAUUAGUGAUGGGAGCAUCGGCAAGACACCAAAAAGAUUUUCCUCGCUGCAGAAAUGAAGUUUUGCUUUUUAUUUUGGAAAUACAGGAAAAAUGCUGAAGAGCAAAGAACGACCCCAGAUGGAUCGCAGAAGCAGGGUUCGAAGGUACUGCCCUUGAACAGAUGAUCUUUCUAUUCUGGUGACUCUAACGAGAGCCAAUACUUCACAAAAAGCACAGGAGCUUUGUGGCACUUAGCUGUAAUCUUACCCCUUUGCUGAAAUCCCUCCUGCACUCAGGCUAGCCUGGUGAUCUGAUGUCACCGGGCGCAAGGGAUUAAUAAGCCUUGACAUUUUAUCCUAUCAGUGUAAUACCCAGCUCUUCUCAAGACUGCCUGGCCCUUGCUUUGGCAGCGGAUCACACAGGGGGAGCCGUAGCGGCUCAUAGACUUUCAAGACAGCAGAACAACCUUGGAGAACGAAUGCUCGGACUGCUGCAGGUUACAGCACCCAGAGUCCUGUGGACUGAGCCCAUGAUCUGAAGGCAAGGACUCUACUACUGAGCUACAUCCUCAGAUCUUUAACUUCAUGCAAAAGAGAUUGGACUUGAGGCGCAUCUUAAACCAAGACAUCCCAUGGGAUUGGCAAAUUAAUUGUGCUUGGAAGUUAUGAGAGCAGAGACCUGCAGAAAACUGAUCAGGAAACAAGAAUGGGACAUUAAGAUUCCACUGUGAUAAAUCACCUCACCAAGCCCAUCAUAUGCUGAGAUGUAGGACAGAAGCCUUCUGAACUUCUCGGGUUUUUCCCCCGUGAUGUAAUUGAUAUCAUACCUACUCAGUUGGCUACAGCUUUUAGGGGCUAAGUCUGUUUGCUGAAAUGUUUGCACUUCCUCCUCAACUGAAAGAAUUCAAAGACAUGAAGUGUCUACUGUGAAAAUACAUAACAAAUACAAAAGCUGUUCUCUAAAGGCCUAUCGGAGUGGCUACCACUGAAGCGAUUGCUCUCUACGGAACGUGUGGAAGAACAGCGCCAUGUUGAAUUCAUUGAGGCACUCUCUUCUGAUUUUUUUUUGUUCUAUUUUUUUUUAAAUAAUUUCCAUCAACAGACCUCCACCCCGAACAAAAGCAGGUGCUUUUCAGCAUAACAUCUCAAGUAACUGGAGGGAAAGGGGGAAGAAUGGGGUGUAUUGCUAAUCGGUAACUCUGCCAUCUCCGAAUCAUGAGGAUGGUCUUUUGUCGAUGACUAAAAGCUUUAAUGAGAGGCAUUUGCCUACCAUGCACAAGGCCUUCUAUCUCACUCCCAUUGUCCCCAUAAAGCUUUCAAGUUUGAGUGUUGGUAAAGUAAGCUCACUUGCACAUUUUUGUAACACUUUUUAUUUU
rnacentral:sRNA from 1 species